AGGCCCUUGCAAUAAUUUUCAUGCGCUCUCUGUCUCUCCUGUUCAGUCCCCUCAAAAAUCUCAAACAAGCACAUAUUUUCCCCUUUACUUAACCCUAAAUUCCCCUUCAAAGUUGAAACACCAGCCAAGAUUAAUUACAUAUAUUAGCUCGCUUCCGAAUUCAAAUGACGCCGACCAGAAGAAGCCGAAAUUAUCGACAUUGAAGGAAGACCUCGGAAACAUCAUCAAUGGCGGCGGCAGCAGCAGUGAAUACGGUGUUAUUGAAGAAGAAAUUGAAGAGCACAACAACAUCAACAAUGGCGGCGAUAACGAGGAAGAAGAUAGAUUAAGCUCGCUCCCAGAUAACCUCCUUAUCACCAUACUUUCUCGCCUCUACCGAUAAUUUCAAAUAUGGUAGACUUGAUUGCAAAAUUACAGAUCUCAUCGAGGUUGAAUGACAAGGCUAAAAGUCGGGAAAAUGCAGAUCAGUACUCUUUGAUUUGUCAUUGGCAAAGUUCAAUGGAGGAAAAGGUAGAGGAGAUCAACUGAAGUAAUAACUGUAUAGGAAUCGUGACUGCAAGAGGGCAGAUGUACAGAUGUUUAAUUCAUCAUUCACUAGGUAUCUUAAUCUUGGGUGUUUAACCCUUUGAUAAAAACAUUUUACUUUCUAGCAAUACAACUGAACAGGGGAAAUGGGCUUUGGAAGUCAGACCUAUAAUUUAGGUGAUGCUGUGUGUAUAUAUAUGUUGAUGACUGAAUUCAGACGGAGAAAGAUAGGUGUUACUAUUGUCUGCAACGUUGGAUGUUUUUAUAAUGCAAUCCUGCAUUUUGGUAUAUACACUUUCUGAAUGUUAAAUCUGUGUAAGUUUAGAUGAACUUGUUUCUGGAGUUGCACUUUGAAGCAUAUAAUCUUCUUUAGAAA